GAGGUAAGCAUUCCCAAGCCUUCACUGGAGGAAUCUGCAAUUUCAAUAAGCGGAUUAAGUUUUCAUCGCGCAGUGAGAAAACUUACUAAUCAAAACUUUUAAACAACGCUCCCUUUGGUUCUGGAAUCGCUCAAGAACGCAGCGAAAUGCGAAUAAGUUGGUGUGGAUUUGCAGAAAUUCAGUCGAAUCAUCGAAAUCUUUUGAACGCACAUUGCGCCCCCUUGGAAUUCCAUGGGGCAUGCUUGUUCGAGCGUCAUUUGUACCUUCAAGCUUUGCUUGGUGUUGGGUGUUUGUCCUCUCCCAUGGUGUUUGGACUCGCCUUAAAACAAUUGGCAGCCAGUGUUUUGGUAUUGAAGCGCAGCACAAGUCGCGAUUCUGACCUAGCAACACUUGCAUCCACAAGUCUUUUUAACUUUUUGACCUCGGAUCAGGUAGGGGAUACCCGCUGA
rnacentral:rRNA from 1 species